rnacentral:rRNA from 1 species
GACGAACGCUGGCGGCGUGCUUAAUACAUGCAAGUCGAACGGAAAGGUCCUGCUUUUGUGGGUUUCUCGAUUGGCGAACGGGGGAGUAACACGCGAGGAUCACGCCCUUGUCUUUGGGAUAUCUUCAGGAAACUGGGGCGAAUACCGGAUAUGAGCUCCUGCAGCGUGUUGGGGUUUGGAAAGUUUCGGCGGUUGGGGAUGGACUCGCGGCUUAUCAGCUUGUUGGUGGGGUAGUGGCUUACCAAGGCUUUGACGGGUAGCCGACCUGAGAGGGUGACCGGCCACAUUGGGACUGAGAUACGGCCCAGAAUCCUACGGGAGGCAGCAGUGGGGAAUAUUGCAGAAUGGGCGGAAGCCUGAUGCAGCAACGCCGCGUGCGGGAUGACGGCCUUCGGGUUGUAAACCGCUUUCGCCUGUGACGAAGAGUGAGUGACGGUAAUGAGUAAAGAAGCAACGGCUAACUACGUG